CCUACGGGGCGCAGCAGUGAGGAAUAUUGGUCAAUGGACGAGAGUCUGAACCAGCCAAGUAGCGUGAAGGAUGACUGCCCUAUGGGUUGUAACCUUCUUUUAUAAAGGAAUAAAACGGGGCACGUGUGCCUUUUUGCAUGUACUUUAUGAAUAAGGAUCGGCUAACUCCGUGCCAGCAGCCGAGGUAAUACGGAGGAUCCGAGCGUUAUCCGGAUUUAUUGGGUUUAAAGGGAGCGUAGAUGGGUUGUUAAGUCAGUUGUGAAAGUUUGCGGCUCAACCGUAAAAUUGCAAUUGAUACUGGCAGUCUUGAGUACAGUUGAGGUAGGCGGAAUUCGUGGUGUAGCGGUGAAAUGCUUAGAUAUCACGAAGAACCCCGAUUGCGAAGGCAGCUUACUAAACUGUGACUGACAUUGAUGCUCGAAAGUGUGGGUAUCAAACAGGAUUAGAUACCCGGGUAGUC
rnacentral:rRNA from 1 species